rnacentral:rRNA from 1 species
UACGUAGGGUGCGAGCGUUAAUCGGAAUUACUGGGCGUAAAGCGUGCGCAGGCGGUUCGUUGUGUCCGUCGUGAAAGCCCCGGGCUUAACCUGGGAACUGCGAUGGAAACUAGCGAGCUGGAGUGUGGCAGAGGGGGGUGGAAUUCCUGGUGUAGCGGUGAAAUGCGCAGAUAUCAGGAGGAACACCAGUGGCGAAGGCGGUGCUCUGGGCCGGAACUGACGCUGAGGAGCGAAAGCGUGGGGAGCAAACAGG